UACAGAGGGUGCGAGCGUUAAUCGGAAUUACUGGGCGUAAAGCGUGCGCAGACGGUCAUGUAAGUCGGGUGUGAAAGCCCCGGGCUCAACCUGGGAAUUGCAUUCGAUACUCCGGAGCUCGAGUCCUGGAGAGGAAGGCGGAAUUCUCGGUGUAGAGGUGAAAUUCGUAGAUAUCGAGAGGAACACCGGUGGCGAAGGCGGCCUUCUGGACAGUGACUGACGCUGAGACACGAAAGCGUGGGGAGCAAACAGG
rnacentral:rRNA from 1 species